AUUGAACGCUGGCGGCAGGCCUAACACAUGCAAGUCGAGCGGAUGAAGGGAGCUUGCUCCUGGAUUCAGCGGCGGACGGGUGAGUAAUGCCUAGGAAUCUGCCUGGUAGUGGGGGAUAACGUCCGGAAACGGGCGCUAAUACCGCAUACGUCCUGAGGGAGAAAGUGGGGGAUCUUCGGACCUCACGCUAUCAGAUGAGCCUAGGUCGGAUUAGCUAGUUGGUGGGGUAAAGGCCUACCAAGGCGACGAUCCGUAACUGGUCUGCGAGGAUGAUCAGUCACACUGGAACUGGAACACGGUCCAGACUCCUACGGGAGGCAGCAGUGGGGAAUAUUAGACAAUGGGCGGAAGCCUGAUCCAGCCAUGCCGCGUGUGUGAAGAAGGUCUUCGGAUUGUAAAGCACUUUAAGUUGGGAGGAGGGGCAGUAAGUUAAUACCUUGCUGUUUUGACGUUACCAACAGAAUAAGCACCGGCUAACUUCGUG
rnacentral:rRNA from 1 species